GGCUGGAUAGUCUAGUGGUAGGAUGCAUGCUAUGGUGCAGCAUGAGACCCGUGUUCGACUCACGGUCCGGCGA